rnacentral:rRNA from 1 species
UAAGCGCGCGCAGGCGGUUUCUUAAGUCUGAUGUGAAAGCCCACGGCUCAACCGUGGAGGGUCAUUGGAAACUGGGAAGCUUGAGUGCAGAAGAGGAGAGUGGAAUUCCAUGUGUAGCGGUGAAAUGCGUAGAGAUAUGGAGGAACACCAGUGGCGAAGGCGACUCUCUGGUCUGCAACUGACGCUGAGGCGCGAAAGCGUGGGGAGCGAACAGGAUUAGAUACCCUGGUAGUCCACGCUGUAAACGAUGAGUGCUAGGUGUCGGGGGGUCCAACCCUCGGUGCUGUCGCUAACGCAAUAAGCACUCCGCCUGGGGAGUACGGUCGCAAGACUGAAACUCAAAGGAAUUGACGGGGGCCCGCACAAGCGGUGGAGCAUGUGGUUUAAUUCGAAGCAACGCGAAGAACCUUACCAAGUCUUGACAUCCCUUGCACGCUCUAGAGAUAGAGUUUUCCCCUUCGGGGGACAAGGUGACAGGUGGUGCAUGGUUGUCGUCAGCUCGUGUCGUGAGAUGUUGGGUUAAGUCCCGCAACGAGCGCAACCCUUGAUCUUAGUUGCCAGCAUUUAGUUGGGCACUCUAAGGUGACUGCCGGUGACAAACCGGAGGAAGGUGGGGAUGACGUCAAAUCAUCAUGCCCCUUAUGACUUGGGCUACACACGUGCUACAAUGGGUGAUACAAAGGGUUGCGAAGUCGCGAGACGGAGCUAAUCCCAUAAAGUCACUCUCAGUUCGGAUUGCAGCUGC